rnacentral:rRNA from 1 species
AGGCUGACUGACGGAGGACAUUAACGAGUUAAUUGAACGGGUUGUAGCUGGUCCUCGCAAGAGGGCAUGUGCACACCUGGCUCAUCCACUCUUCAACCUCUGUGCACUUAUUGUAGGUCGGCAGAAGAGUAAGCUUUCGGGCUUGCUUGGAAGCCUUCCUAUGUUUCAUUACAAACGCUUCAGUUUAAGAAUGUAAUCUCUGCGUAUAACGCAAUUAUAUACAACUUUCAGCAACGGAUCUCUUGGCUCUCGCAUCGAUGAAGAACGCAGCGAAAUGCGAUAAGUAAUGUGAAUUGCAGAAUUCAGUGAAUCAUCGAAUUUUUGAACGCACCUUGCGCUCCCUGGUAUUCCGGGGAGCAUGCCUGUUUGAGUGUCAUGGUAUUCUCAACCUUCAUAACUUUUUGUUAUCGAAGGCUUGGAUUUGGAGGCUUGUGCUGGCUUUUGCGAGUCGGCUCCUCUGAAAUGCAUUAGCGUGAGUGUAACGGAUCGCUUCGGUGUGAUAAUUAUCUGCGCCGUGGUCGUGAAGUGACAUAAGCUUGCGCUUCUAGCCGUCCUUCAGUUGGACAAUAUCUUUGACAUCUGACCUCAAAUCAGGUAGGACUACCCGCUGAACUUAAGCAUAUCAAAAGCGGGAAGGA